ACGAAUAUGUUCGCCACCACAGAAACAUAACUAAAUAUAUUGUAUUUAUUGUAUUUUUAUGAUUUACAAUAAAAACAAUAAAUAGUUGCGUAGUUUUGUCAUAAAUCAUAAAAAUACAAUAAAUACAAUAUAUUUAGUUAUGUUUCUGUGGUGGCGAACAUAUUCGU
rnacentral:miRNA from 1 species